AACUUAAAGGAAUUGGACGGGGAGCACCACAACGGGUGGAGCUUGCGGUUUAAUUGGAUUCAACGCCGGAAAUCUUACCGGGACCGACAGCAAUAUGAAGGCCAGGCUGAAGACUUUGCCGGAUUAGCUGAGAGGUGGUGCAUGGCCGUCGUCAGUUCGUACUGUGAAGCAUCCUGUUAAGUCAGGCAACGAGCGAGACCCACGCCCACAGUUGCCAGCGUACUCUCUGGAGUGACGGGUACACUGUGGGGACCGCCGCUGCUAAAGCGGAGGAAGGAAUGGGCAACGGUAGGUCAGUAUGCCCCGAAUAUCCCGGGCUACACGCGAGCUACAAUGGUUGGUACAAUGGGUAUCUACCCCGAAAGGGGAAGGAAAUCUCUUAAAGCCAAUCGUAGUUCGGAUUGAGGGCUGCAACUCGCCCUCAUGAAGCUGGAAUCCGUAGUAAUCGUGUUUCAAAAUAGCACGGUGAAUAUGUCCCUGCUCCUU
rnacentral:rRNA from 1 species